rnacentral:rRNA from 1 species
UUGGAGGGCAAGUCUGGUGCCAGCAGCCGCGGUAAUUCCAGCUCCAAUAGCGUAUAUUAAAGUUGUUGCAGUUAAAAAGCUCGUAGUUGAAUUUCGGAAUCAAUAUGUUGGUCGUGCCAUUGGUACGUACUGGCAUUAUUGGUUUCUACCUUCUGAAGAACCUCGAUGUCAUUAAUUUGGUGUCUUGGGGAAUCAGGACUGUUACUUUGAAAAAAUUAGAGUGUUUAAAGCAGGCUCGCGCUUGAAUACAUUAGCAUGGAAUAAUGAAAUAGGACGUUUGAUUCUAUUUUGUUGGUUUCUAGGAUCGACGUAAUGAUUAAUAGGGAUAGUUGGGGGCAUUAGUAUUCAAUUGUCAGAGGUGAAAUUCUUGGAUUUAUUGAAGACUAACUACUGCGAAAGCAUUUGCCAAGGAUGUUUUCAUUAAUCAAGAACGAAAGUUAGGGGAUCGAAGACGAUCAGAUACCGUCGUAGUCUUAACCAUAAACUAUGCCGACUAGGGAUCGGAUGAUGUUAAUUUUUUAAUGACUCAUUCGGCACCUUACGGGAAAC